ACGCGAGGCUUCUUCGUCGUUCGCCCGGGUUAAGAAGGCAGUCGGGUCGAAACUAAAACUAACUUGUAACCCCGGUAACUGUGUAACUGCAUUACAGCGUGCCACUUGUAUAAAUUAACUGGAAUCUCAAGAAGCUGACAGCUACGUCCAGCUUCAAACGGCCGCGGCCGGCGCUCUCGCCUUUUGCCUCUGAUUUCCCCGACAACGCCGCUCCCGUCCACGUCGAUGCACACCCCCGCAGAUACACCGACGUUUCAGCAGCUCGUUUCGUUAACACGUACCGAGGAACAGCGAACACAUUUAGACUCAAGGAAUGAAUCCUUGGCUCGCACU